rnacentral:tRNA from 2 species
GCUGGGAUAGUGAAGCGGUCAAACACAGCAGACUGUAAAUCUGCCGGCAGAUGCCUUCGAAAGUUCGAAUCUUUCUCCCAGCACCA